GACGAACGCUGGCGGCGCGCCUAACACAUGCAAGUCGAGCGAUGAAAUUUUAACCGAUCUCUUCGGAGAGAAGAUAAAAUGGAUUAGCGGCGGACGGGUGAGUAACACGUGAGAAACCGGCCUUUCACAAGGGGAUAGCCUCGGGAAACCGGGAUUAAUACCCUAUGACACAUUUCCUUCGCAUGGAAGAAAUGUUAAAACUCCGGUGGUGAAAGAUGGUCUCGCGCCUGAUUAGCAAGUUGGUGGGGUAACGGCCCACCAAGGCCAUGAUCAGUACCCGGCCUGGGAGGGUGAACCGUCACAUUGGCACUGGGACGCGGUCCAAACUCCUGCGGGAGGCAGCAGUGGGGAAUAUUGCCCAAUGGAGGAAACUCUGAUGCAGCGACGCCGCGUGAGCGAUGAAGGCUUUCGAGUCGUAAAGCUCUGUCCUAUGGGAAGAUAAUGACGGUACCAUAGGAGGAAGCCCCGGCUAACUACGUG
rnacentral:rRNA from 1 species